UAGGGAAUAUUGGACAAUGGGGGCAACCCUGAUCCAGCCAUGCCGCGUGAGUGAAGAAGGCCCUCGGGUUGUAAAGCUCUUUUGUCCGGAAAGAAAAGCUUCGGGUUAAUACCCCGGGGUUCUGUCGGUACCGGAAGAAUAAGCAGCGGCUAACUUCGUGCCAGCAGCCGCGGUAAUACGAGGGGUGCAAGCGUUACUCGGAAUUACUGGGCGUAAAGCGAGCGUAGGUGGGUGUUUCAGUCGGAUGUGAAAGCCCUGGGCUCAACCUGGGAAUGGCAUUGGAAACUGGGCAGCGAGAGUGCGGUAGAGGGUAGUGGAAUUCCCGGUGUAGCAGUGAAAUGCGUAGAGAUCGGGAGGAACAUCUGUGGCGAAGGCGACUGCCUGGACCAGCACUGACACUGAGGCACGAAAGCGUGGGGAGCAAACA
rnacentral:rRNA from 1 species